rnacentral:lncRNA from 1 species
UGCUCACGACCUCCAAAGGGAAGAAAGCGACGCUCUGAGAACUCCGAGAGGCCGCCGGCCAAGCGCCGACUCGGGGGGCGGGGGAACGGAAACCGACGUCUCCCCUUCGACCUCCCGGGAAACCCUUCUCCGUUUACUCUCCAUUCCGCGACCGCCAAUAAAGAACAGCAUACAUGGUGACCAGAUGGAGAGGGAGAAGUCUGUUCCCGCUGACUGACAGCAGAUCCGGCCAGUCCGCACUCG